CGAGCAAAUCGGGUAGCCGCGAGGCCUCGGCCUCGAGGAAAGUCGGAGCUCCGCAGGGCAGGGUGCUGGGUAACGCCCAGUGGGGGUGACCCCAAGGCCAGUGCCACAGAAACAGACCGCCGGGCGCUCAGCGGGGAGCGCCGCCGCACCGGCAGCGCCUCCCGGCGAGCGCCAGGCAAGGGUGGAAAGGUGAGGUAAGAGCUCACCAGCGGUCAGGCGACUGAUCGGCUCGGUAAACCCCACCCGGAGCAAGACCGAAUAGAGGAGCAAUGGAGUGGCCCGCUCCGCUCCCGGGUCAGGUCGCUGGAGGCGCCAGGCGACUGGCGUCCUAGACAGAUGGCUACCGAACACAGAACUCCGCUUACAGAUUCGCUCGCCAG
rnacentral:RNase_P_RNA from 1 species